UGACACUACGUCGCGUCACUGCAACCAGAAAAUACGGUAGCUGUUCAAAUGAAACUUUAUGCACAACAAGCUUGCGUUCAAACCUCAAACUGUUAUGCGGAUCUAGUGUGACUUAACGUAGAUACUGUAGUUAUUUUUAACAUGACAGCCAUUGAAACAUAUUCUUGUUUGCAUAGCCUGAUUUGUCCCUCCAUGCAGAUAACAUGUUCCGGACACUGUUGUGCCGUCUGAGGAUACAGCAGCCUUUGAGGAGUAGGACAUGUUCCUAUGGCUUCACCCCUGUCAAUCUGUCGGACCCUGUCCGGCUGCAUGUGACUCCACCUAGAACUCUAUUCUAUCUAUAUGUUCAUCAUAGGACCUGUCAUUCAAACACACACACUCCCAACAGCAUCAGAGGACUAUCAGAGGAGACAGGAAGCGAGAUGUUUCGUAAUGUGUCACCAUGUUUCAGCACCGGUGUUGUGUCGCUAUCAGCUAUCAUUGGUCAUUCCACCUCCACCAGACAGUUGGGUGUCAGUAUACAGAGGAGGCUCUAUUCAACGGCCCCUAUUAAACCAGUGACCAUGCCUGGAAGUGGGAAGAAACUUCCUAAAGGCCCUAGGGCCAAACAACCAUCCAGAACCAAUCAGCCGACCCCAAAAGAGAACAAGGUCAUGCCGUCCACCAAUCAGAUUAGAGGACUAGGAAAUGCCUAAUGGAUGUAUCUAUUUUAUUUAUUUAACCUUUGUGUUUUUUGUAAUAAAAAAAUAUCCCCUAGGGUUAUUCAACAAUCAAAAUGAUUUGUAGAUCAAUGACUGUCAAUACAGUUACAUGCUUGGGUCGCAUCAGUUGUCACAAAUAUGAGGUAUUUUCGGGAAGGUAGAAAGAAUUGUGAAUGUGCGAUUCGUCACUUUUGAAUCGAUUUUCUGACCGAUGCAUGCUACAUUUGGAUGGUUUGUGGUCCGUGGACCGACGCAGUCCCAUUUUAAACAUUUGAAUAAGGGACUGAUGCGUAUCGGGGAGUCAUUACAUCCUCAUCAUUAAUAUAUGCAUGUUUUUGGGGGCUUUAUAUACUUGUGUUUAUAUUUGGAGUUGAAACUUUAAAUUGCCUAUAUGUAUUGAUUCACUGUACGUAUUUAUAUAUUUGCAGACAUACAUUUCGGUGUAUUUCUUCAUUCUGGCAAACUGUAAUAAUUCAACCAAACAAUCCGAUAUCUCAUCAACCCAGUGACUUGUCUGGAAGAAGCUGAGCCUAUUGCCUGGCACUGCAGGUCAUUUAGAAGAUGCUAAUUGUCUGUGGUCUUGCCAUGUCAAAUGUUAUUCAUAUGAGCCAUGAAUAUCUAGAGCACAUACUUUUGGUGACAGCUGUCAUCUCCUUUUAGUAAGUUUGUUGUGUUUGAUUUUAUAAGAUAAAGUAGACUGAACUAACUUGCGUAUUGUCAUCACGUCUUGCUGUAUUUAGUAUAGGUAGAAGCAUAGUGACAGAACCUUAACUCAUUUGUAAGAAAGGCCCCGAGAGGCUCAGAGUGGUCCUUCAAGCCAGAUGUAAAUAGUUUUCAUUUAUUUCAUUCACAGCUUUGAAAUAUAAAAGUGUUCAUGCAACUA